AGAAUAAUAAAGAACGGAAUAAUAAAGACGGAACCAGGUCCGGCAUAUAACACAGACAGUUUAUUUCAACAGAAUAAUAAAGAACGGAAUAAUAAAGACGGAACCAGGUCCGGCGUAUAGCACAGACAGGAUAUUCCAACAGAAUAAUAAAGAAUGGAAUACAGAAGAAUUUCACCAAGUAUAGGGUAGCCCUCGUAUACAGGUUAUUCCAACAGAAUAAUAAAGAUGGAAUAACAGAAGUUCUCUUCAUGAAUACAAAAGAAAUAAUACCCCUUACGGGUACAACAAAUAAUAUCCCUUACCGUAUAAAGAAGAACUGAAUAAAGAAGUAGUGAAGUAGCAGAAUACUUUUCUUCUUUCUCUCUAUAGUUUCUCUCUCUAGAGUUUCAAUGAAUUCGUAAGAUAUAAUGAAGGAAUGAG
rnacentral:lncRNA from 1 species